rnacentral:tRNA from 3 species
GCCACCUUAGCUCAGUUGGUUAGAGCGCCGGUUUGUGGAACCGGAGGUCCUCAGUUCAAGCCUGAGAGGUGGUACCA